rnacentral:lncRNA from 1 species
CUCAGCAGGGUCAACUGGGACAGUGCUUCUGAGCAAAGUCCUGCUAGCAGAGAUGAAUAAGGCUGAAGAAGCAAGUCCCUGGAGAGAAAGGAAGAGAUGAGAGAGACCCCCAAGUUGUGUGAUCACCUCCAGCACACUGGAGACUGAGCCGUUUCACAAGAUCAUUCAUUCUAGGAGAGACCUUGGGAGGAGAAGUCAUGAGGACAGUCAACCAGCUCUUUGAAGAAGUCCACAUGCUGAGAAACUGAGGCCUCCUGCCAACAGCCUUGUGAGUGAAUCAUCUUGGAGGUGGAUCCUCCAGCACCUGUAAAACCUUCAGAUGACCACAGAUCUGGCUGACAUUUUGACCUCAAUGUUAUGAAAAAUCUUGAGGCAGAAGCACCCAGCUAAGCCAAUCCUGUAUUCUUCACCUACAGAAACUAUGAGCUAGUCUUCAAUCUGGUCUGGAGUUCAAGCCCUGCCUCUGGAGUCAUGUCCCACCUCCUACUUCACCAGUACCUGCCCU